GACGAACGCUGGCGGCGUGCUUAACACAUACAAGUCGAGCGGUAAGGCCCUUUCGGGGGUACACGAGCGGCGAACGGGUGAGUAACACGUGGGUGACCUGCCCUCAGCUCUGGGAUAAGCCCGGGAAACUGGGUCUAAUACCGGAUAUGACUCCACGGUGCAUGUCGUGGGGUGGAAAGCCUUGUGCGGCUGAGGAUGGGCCCGCGGCCUAUCAGCUUGUUGGUGGGGUGAUGGCCUACCAAGGCGACGACGGGUAGCCGGCCUGAGAGGGCGACCGGCCACACUGGGACUGAGACACGGCCCAGACUCCUACGGGAGGCAGCAGUGGGGAAUCUUGCGCAAUGGGCGAAAGCCUGACGCAGCGACGCCGCGUGAGGGAUGACGGCCU
rnacentral:rRNA from 1 species